AUGCGUGAUCAGGUCGGCAUCGACCUGGACGGCUUCCCACUCGACCACGAGUUCCCGGACGACUACGGGCUAGAGGAAGAGGACGAGUGCGACAUCGAAGUGGAGCCUUUGUUCGAGGACGAGCUCGCCAACCAAGCCGCUGGUCCUAAGCCGAAGCGCAAGAGCAAGCGCACGAAGGCAUACACGGCUGCCGAGGACAAGCUUCUUUGCGAGUGCUGGCAAGAUAUUGGACAAGACCCCAAGACGGGCGUCGAACAAAAGCAUUCAACCUUUUGGAUUCGUGUCCACCGAGAGUUUCAUGAGCACGCGUGGGUGGGUGUCCAUUUCCAAGCGAUGGAGGGUGAUCCAACAAGAGUGCAACAAGUUUUGCGCCACUCUUGA
rnacentral:rRNA from 1 species